GAUGAACGCUGGCGGCGUGCUUAACACAUGCAAGUCGAACGGGAAAUAUUUCAUUGAGACUUCGGUGGAUUUGAUUUAUUUCUAGUGGCGGACGGGUGAGUAACGCGUGGGUAACCUGCCUUAUACAGGGGGAUAACAGUCAGAAAUGGCUGCUAAUACCGCAUAAGCGCACAGGACCGCAUGGUCCGGUGUGAAAAACUCCGGUGGUAUAAGAUGGACCCGCGUUGGAUUAGCUUGUUGGUGGGGUAACGGCCCACCAAGGCGACGAUCCAUAGCCGGCCUGAGAGGGUGAACGGCCACAUUGGGACUGAGACACGGCCCAGACUCCUACGGGAGGCAGCAGUGGGGAAUAUUGCACAAUGGGGGAAACCCUGAUGCAGCGACGCCGCGUGAAGGAAGAAGUAUCUC
rnacentral:rRNA from 1 species